rnacentral:rRNA from 1 species
UACGUAGGCAGCGAGCGUUGUUCGGAGUUACUGGGCGUAAAGGGUGUGUAGGCGGUUGUUUAAGUUUGGUGUGAAAUCUCCCGGCUCAACUGGGAGGGUGCACCGAAUACUGAAUGACUCGAGUGCGGGAGAGGAAAGUGGAAUUCCUGGUGUAGCGGUGAAAUGCGUAGAUAUCAGGAGGAACACCGGUGGUGUAGACGGCUUUCUGGACCGUAACUGACGCUGAGACACGAAAGCGUGGGUAGCAAACAGG